GACGAACGCUGGCGGCGUGCUUAACACAUGCAAGUCGAACGCUUAGUCCCUGCUGUUUUGUUGUGCUCGAGUGGCGAACGGAUGGGUAACACGUGAGUAACCUGGCCUUAACUUUGGGAUAACUUCGGGAAACUGGGUCGAAUACCGGAUAAGAGCUCCUUCUGAAUGUUUGCGGUUUGAAAUUUUCGUCGGUUGGGGAUGGACUCGCGGCUGAUGAGCUUGUUGGUGGUGUAGUGGCUUACCAAUGCUUUGACGGGUAGCCGGCCUGAGAGGGUGACCGGCCACAUUGGGACUGAGAUACGGACCAGACUGCUACGGGAGGCAGCAGUGGGGAAUAUUGCAGAAUGGGCGGAAGCCUGAUGCAGCAACGCCGCGUGCGGGAUGCCGGCCUUCGGGUUGUAAACCGCUUCCGCAUGUGACGAAGCGUGAGUGACGGUAAUGGGUAAAGAAGCAACGGCUAACUACGUG
rnacentral:rRNA from 1 species